rfam:Streptomyces sp. H-KF8 tig00000139, whole genome shotgun sequence.
ACGCCCUGCCCCGUGAUCGUCUUCUCACCGUUCACCCGGCAGGCGGAAAAAAGGAAGCCCCCGCGAGGACAGGACUCGCGGGGGCUUCCG